GGAUUAGAUACCCUGGUAGUCCACACCGUAAACGCUGUCUACUAGCUGUGUGUGAUUUUAAAUCGUGCGUAGCGCAGCUAACGCGAUAAGUAGACCGCCUGGGGAGUACGGCCGCAAGGUUAAAACUCAAAUGAAUUGACGGGGGCCCGCACAAGCGGUGGAGCAUGUGGUUUAAUUCGAUGAUACGCGAGGAACCUUACCUGGGCUACAAUGCCUUGGCCAGCCUGUGAAAGCAGGUUUUCCUUCGGGACCAAGUGCAAGGUGCUGCAUGGUUGUCGUCAGCUCGUGCCG
rnacentral:rRNA from 1 species